rnacentral:rRNA from 1 species
UACGUAGGGGGGCAAGCGUUGUUCGGAAUUACUGGGCGUAAAGGGCGCGUAGGCGGCACAGCAAGUCGGGAGUGAAAGCCCGGGGCUCAACCCCGGAACGUCUUUCGAAACUGCUGAGCUCGAGUGCGGAAGAGGCAACUGGAAUUCCCAGUGUAGCGGUGAAAUGCGUAGAUAUUGGGAAGAACACCUGAGGCGAAGGCGGGUUGCUGGGCCGACACUGACGCUGAGGCGCGAAAGCCAGGGGAGCAAACGGG